CUAGUAGUCUGUUGUUAUUUAUGUAUUAUUGUCAUUUUGUUUAUUUUCUUUGGUUACAUCUUCUGACAUCAGACUCGGACUUCUCUUGAACUGAAUUUUAAUGUGCGUAUUGUUAUGCGUUUACUUUUCUACAUUGGCUAGAGGUAUAGGGGGAGGGUUGAGAUCUCACAAACAUGUUUAACCCCGCCGCAUUUUUGCGCCUGUCCCAAGUCGGGAG
rnacentral:lncRNA from 1 species